GAUGAAGAACGUAGCGAAAUGCGAUAAGUAGUGUGAAUUGCAGAAUUCAGUGAAUCAUCGAAUCUUUGAACGCACAUUGCGCCUCCUGGUAUUCCGGGAGGCAUGCCUGUUCGAGCGUCAUUAAAAUCACUCAAGCUUAGGUUUACCUAUUGCUUGGUCUUGGAGAUGGAAGCCAAUUUAUUGGAAUCCUCUUCGAAAUUCAAUGGCGAAGACCCUUGCUCUCCCAAGUGUAGUAAUAACUUAUGUCACUGAAGGAAGCGAGAAAUCUUCUGCCGUAACCCCCAUAUUUUCUAUGAUUGACCUCGGAUCAGGUAGGGAGACCCGCUGAACUUAAGCAUAUCAAUAAGCGGAAGGA
rnacentral:misc_RNA from 1 species